UACGUAGGUGGCGAGCGUUGUCCGGAAUUACUGGGCGUAAAGGGCGCGUAGGUGGCCUGUUAAGUCGAACGUGAAAUCCCCGGGCUCAACCCGGGAACUACGUCCGAGACUGGCAGGCUCGAAUCCGGGAGAGGGAUGUGGAAUUCCAGGUGUAGCGGUGAAAUGCGUAGAUAUCUGGUGGAACACCGGUGGCGAAGGCGGCAUCCUGGACCGGUAUUGACGCUGAGGCGCGAAAGCCAGGGGAGCAAACGGG
rnacentral:rRNA from 1 species